CCGAAUGACUGUUUAGCAAAAACAUAGUAGACAGGUUUAAGAUUUUUAAUAGUUGUGAAUGAUGUUUGACCAGUGCUUGUGGAAACAAGUAAACGUUGGCUGUAACUAUAACCGUCCGAAGGUAGCAAAGUUCCUUGUCACCUAAGUAGUGACCCGCAUGAAAGAUUUAACGGUUUGGUUUGUGUCCUGUGGGUAUGUUAUGGUGAAACACUAUACUACGUGAAGAUACGUGUGAUAUUAGGAUGGGACAAAAAGACCCUGAGAAGCUUUAUUGG
rnacentral:rRNA from 11 species